rnacentral:piRNA from 1 species
GACAUCGUUUCUCAAUCCAGUCUCUCAGCC